rnacentral:rRNA from 1 species
GUUGUAUGGUUAAGUGACUAAGCGUAUACGGUGGAUGCCUUGGCAGUCAGAGGCGAUGAAGGACGUAGUAACUUGCGAAAAGCGUUGGCGAGCUAGUAACAAGCAUUUGAGCUAACGAUAUCCGAAUGGGGAAACCCACUCACAUAAGUGAGUAUCACAUACUGAAUACAUAGGUAUGUGAGGCAAACCCGGGGAACUGAAACAUCUAAGUACCCGGAGGAAAAGAAAUCAACCGAGAUUCCCCUAGUAGCGGCGAGCGAACGGGGAUUAGCCCUUAAGUCUAUAGGGUGUUAGUGGAAUGAGUUGGAAAGCUCAGCGGCACAGGGUGAUAGCCCCGUACAUGAAAACUAACUAUAGAUGAAAACGAGUAGGACGGGACACGUGACAUCUUGUCUGAACAUGGGGGACCAUCCUCCAAGGCUAAAUACUCCUGACUGACCGAUAGUGAACCAGUACCGUGAGGGAAAGGCGAAAAGAACCCCUGUGAGGGGAGUGAAAUAGAACCUGAAACCGUAUACGUACAAGCAGUGGGAGCGGUCCUUGAGACCGUGACUGCGUACCUUUUGUAUAAUGGGUCAGCGACUUACAUUUUGUAGCAAGGUUAAGCGAAUAGCGGAGCCGUAGGGAAACCGAGUGUUAACUGCGCGUUUAGUUGCAAGGUGUAGACCCGAAACCGAGUGAUCUAGCCAUGGGCAGGUUGAAGGUUGAGUAACAUCAACUGGAGGACCGAACACACGUAUGUUGAAAAAUGCGGUGAUGACUUGUGGCUGGGGGUGAAAGGCCAAUCAAACUCGGAGAUAUCUGGUUCUCCUCGAAAGCUAUUUAGGUAGCGCCUCGUACGAAUACCAUUGGGGGUAGAGCACUGUUAAGGCUAGGGGGUCAUCCCGACUUACCAACCCUUUGCAAACUCCGAAUACCAAUGAGUACUAUACGGGAGACACACGGCGGGUGCUAACGUCCGUCGUGAAAAGGGAAACAACCCAGACCAUCAGCUAAGGUCCCAAAGUUAUUGCUAAGUGGGAAACGAUGUGGGAAGGCUUAGACAGCUAGGAUGUUGGCUUAGAAGCAGCCAUCAUUUAAAGAAAGCGUAAUAGCUCACUAGUCGAGUCGGCCUGCGCGGAAGAUUUAACGGGGCUAAGCAAUACACCGAAGCUAUGGGUUUGCUAGUUUACUAGCAAGCGGUAGAGGAGCGUUCUGUAAGCCGUUGAAGGCGAAGGGGUAACCCACGCUGGAGGUAUCAGAAGUGCGAAUGCUGACAUGAGUAACGAUAAAGGGAGUGAAAAACUCCCUCGCCGAAAGACCAAGGUUUCCUGUCCAAUGUUAAUCAGGGCAGGGUAAGUCGACCCCUAAGGUGAGGCCGAAAGGCGUAAUCGAUGGGAAACGGGUUAAUAUUCCCGUACUUCUACUAACUGCGAUGGAGAGACGGAGAAGGCUAGGCUAGCGCGGCGUUGGUUGUCCGCGUUUAAGGCUGUAGGCUGUUCACUUAGGCAAAUCCGGGUGAACGCAUUAAAUUGCAAAGCUGAGAGUUGAUGACGAGUCCCCAAGGGGAUGAAGUAGUUGAUGCCAUGCUUCCAGGAAAAUCUUCUAAGCUUCAGGUUAGUAGGAAUCGUACCCCAAACCGACACAGGUGGUUGGGUAGAGAAUACCAAGGCGCUUGAGAGAACUCGGCUGAAGGAACUAGGCAAAAUGGUACCGUAACUUCGGGAGAAGGUACGCUGCCGGCGGUGAUGGGACUUGCUCCUUAAGCUGCUGGCAGUCGCAGAUACCAGGUGGCUGCAACUGUUUAUCAAAAACACAGUACUGUGCAAACUCGCAAGAGGAAGUAUACGGUAUGACGCCUGCCCGGUGCCGGAAGGUUAAUUGAUUGGGUUAUCUUCGGAGAAGCUCAUGAUCGAAGCCCCGGUAAACGGCGGCCGUAACUAUAACGGUCCUAAGGUAGCGAAAUUCCUUGUCGGGUAAGUUCCGACCUGCACGAAUGGCGUAAUGACGGCCACGCUGUCUCCAGCCGAGACUCAGUGAAGUUGAAAUUGCGGUGAAGAUGCCGUAUACCCGCGGCUAGACGGAAAGACCCCGUGCACCUUUACUAUAGCUUGGCACUGAACAUUGAACCUACAUGUGUAGGAUAGGUGGGAGACUUUGAAGCAGAGACGCUAGUUUUUGUGGAGUCAACCUUGAAAUACCACCCUUGUAGUUUUGAUGUUCUAACUCUGGCCCCUGAAUCGGGGUUGAGGACAGUGCCUGGUGGGUAGUUUGACUGGGGCGGUCUCCUCCCAAAGAGUAACGGAGGAGCACGAAGGUUGGCUAAGUACGGUCGGACAUCGUACGGUUAGUGCAAUGGCAUAAGCCAGCUUAACUGCGAGACAUACACGUCGAGCAGGUACGAAAGUAGGUCAUAGUGAUCCGGUGGUUCUGAAUGGAAGGGCCAUCGCUCAACGGAUAAAAGGUACGCCGGGGAUAACAGGCUGAUACCGCCCAAGAGUUCAUAUCGACGGCGGUGUUUGGCACCUCGAUGUCGGCUCAUCACAUCCUGGGGCUGAAGUCGGUCCCAAGGGUAUGGCUGUUCGCCAUUUAAAGUGGUACGCGAGCUGGGUUCAGAACGUCGUGAGACAGUUCGGUCCCUAUCUGCCGUGGGCGUUGGAUGAUUGAAGGAAGCUGCUCCUAGUACGAGAGGACCGGAGUGGACGAACCGCUGGUGUUCGGGUUGUUAUGCCAAUAGCAUUGCCCGGUAGCUACGUUCGGAAUCGAUAACCGCUGAAAGCAUCUAAGCGGGAAGCGAGUCCUAAGAUGAGUCAUCCCUAGGAAUUUAAUUCCUCUAAAGAGCCGUUCGAGACUAGGACGUUGAUAGGCAGGGUGUGUAAGCGUUGUGAGGCGUUGAGCUAACCUGUACUAAUGACUCGUGAGGCUUAACCAUACAACCCAGAUGGGUUUGU